CACUAUAGGAUUCCAUGUCAAGACCCAAUCCUCAUGCGUCCACUAAAUCAAGUGCUCAACUCACAAUAUGAUUUUUACUAUGAAAGCAUGCAAGGAAUUGAAGUACAACUACUUAACAUAACCUAUAAUGCAUGAUAACAAUAUAUGAAUAUAUGCUUCAAUAAAACAAUUCGGACAUAGGAAGAUGUCACGCCCCGGGACCCGGCGGAGGUCCGCCCGGUGCGUGUCCAGACCCGCCAUAUGCCUACACAUAUAAGGCGUCUACAACAAAGCGAUAUAAAGAACAAAAAAUAAACAAGUAUCUAGGGAUAUCAGAGCAUGUUGUAACAGAGUUCUAAAGACAAGUAGAGCAGUAAAAGAACUAAAUCACUAGCAUAAACCAUAAGAGUAGAUGCAACAAGAUUCGAGUAUAAGAGCUAGAUAUACAAAAUGGUGGUCUCUACAAGGUUCAAAACUCUCAAUCUCUCCAAAUAAAACAAAAAGAGAGGUAACCACCUGAAAGCAAAUCCCUCGCUAACUAGCUAGAGGCGAUCCCUUUCCCGCGAUCC
rnacentral:lncRNA from 1 species